rnacentral:rRNA from 1 species
CCUACGGGAGGCAGCAGUGGGGAAUAUUGGGCAAUGGAGGCAACUCUGACCCAGCAACGCCGCGUGAAUGAUGAAGGUCUUCGGAUUGUAAAGCUCUUUUCUAAGGGAAGAAGAAAGUGAUGGUACCUUAGGAAUAAGCCUCGGCUAACUACGUGCCAGCAGCCGCGGUAAUACGUAGGAGGCAAGCGUUAUCCGGAAGGACUGGGCGUAAAGGGUGCGUAGGUGGUUUGAAAAGUUAGUAGCGAAACUCCGGAGCUCAACUUCGGAACUACUACUAAAACGGUUGGACUUGAGUUCAGGAGGGGCAAUCGGAAGUCCUAGUGUAGCGGUGGAAUGCGUAGAUAUUAGGAGGAACACCAGUGGCGAAGGCGGAUUGCUGGACUGUAACUGACACUGAGGCACGAAAGCGUGGGGAGCAAACAGGAGUAGAUACCCGUGUAGUC